rnacentral:rRNA from 1 species
GACGAACGCUGGCGGCGUGCUUAACACAUGCAAGUCGAACGGAAAGGCCCUGCUUUUGUGGGGUGCUCGAGUGGCGAACGGGUGAGUAACACGUGAGUAACCUGCUCUUGACUUUGGGAUAACUUCAGGAAACUGGGGCUAAUACCGGAUAGGAGCUCCUGCUGCAUGGUGGGGGUUGGAAAGUUUCGGCGGUAGGGGAUGGACUCGCGGCUUAUCAGCUUGUUGGUGGGGUAGUGGCUUACCAAGGCUUUGACGGGUAGCCGGCCUGAGAGGGUGACCGGCCACAUUAGGACUAAGAGACGGCCCAGACUCCUACGGGAGGCAGCAGUGGGGAAUAUGGCACAAUGGGCGGAAGCCUGAUGCAGCAACGCCGCGUUCGUGAUGACGGCCUUCUGGUUGUAAACCGCUUUCGCCUGUGACGAAGCGUUAGUGACGGUAAUGGGUAAAGAAGCACCGGCUAACUACGUG